CCUACGGGUGGCAGCAGUGAGGAAUAUUGGUCAAUGGGCGCGAGCCUGAACCAGCCAAGUCGCGUGAAGGAUGACUGCCCUAUGGGUUGUAAACUUCUUUUGUAUAGGAAUAAUAUGCGUUACGUGUAGAUUUUUGUCUGUACCUUAUGAAUAAGUAUCGGCUAACUCCGUGCCAGCAGCCGCGGUAAUACGGAGGAUCCGAGCGUUAUCCGGAUUUAUUGGGUUUAAAGGGAGCGUAGAGGGCUGUAUAAGUAAGUGGUAAAAUAUUGGGGCUUAACCUAACAACGCAAUUGAUACUGUAAGGCUAGAGUACAGAUGAGGUAGGCGGAAUACGUGAAGUAGCGGUGAAAUGCAUAGAUAUAACGUAGAACACCGAUAGCGAAGGCAGCUUACCAGACUGCGACUGACGUUGAUGCACGAGAGUGUGGGUAGCGAACAGGAUUAGAUACCCUUGUAGUC
rnacentral:rRNA from 1 species